UCACUACUUGCGUAGGCUGUCCUCUGUUGUCUAGCCCGGGUAAGGUUCUUCGCGUUGCGUCGAAUUGAACCACAUGCUCCACCGCUUGUGCGGGCCCCCGUCAAUUCCUUUGAGUUUUAACCUUGCGGCCGUAGUCCCCAGGCGGGGCACUUAAUGCGUUAGCUGCGGCACCGCAGGGGUCAAUACCCGCGACACCUAGUGCCCAUCGUUUACAGCGUGGACUAC
rnacentral:misc_RNA from 1 species